rnacentral:lncRNA from 1 species
UUUUUAGUGGUUAUAAUGGUUCGUUGUAUGAUUGUGUCCAAAUUUAAGUAACUCAAAUAGCCAUGAACGAAAAGGUCUCAUUUCUCCGUUCAGACCAAAGACCUUGUAGGCAUACAGUUUCUGCGUUCAUGGUUAUAAUGGUUCGUUGUAUGAUUGUGUCCAAAUUUAAGUAACUCAAAUAGCCAUGAACGAAAAGGUCUCAUUUCUCCGUUCAGACCAAAGACCUUGUAGGCAUACAGUUUCUGCGUUCAGUUUUAAAAGCUACAAAUUAGUUCCUUGCCUCAAAAUCUCUUGAGCACCCUGUGAUGGAUGCUCAUGGUGCCUCCCUUGUCCCCUCCACACCCACUGUUCCCAUCCAUGCCAAGGGUUUCCCACUGCAGGUACCCGUGAGUCUCUUCCUGAAGUCUCUCUGGUGACAGGAGCAUACUUGAAUCACGCAUGGGUGGCCAGAAGUGCCAGGAAGUUACUGCCUUUUGGAGCAGUCCUCACCAAUGAUGGAAGGAAGUUGUGGAUAAACACCCCAGCUCCCUUACUCUGUGGGUAAAACCACUCACAGGUGAGGUCUCCAGCACCUCGCAGAGCUCCUAGCGCCACUGAGCCCCCAUUGCCAAUGGUGGCAUCUGAUCUUUAACACUCGUUCUUUCCCUUCUCUCUCCCAUUUCCCUACCCCUCCUCCAUCCUUCUGGAAUCACUCACCAAAUAAAUUACUGCAUCUAAAUCCUUGUCUCAGGGGGACCAAAAUAAACCACCACCAAGAAGCGACAGUUACUAAUUGGUUUAUACAUCUGGUACUUUCCGCUUUAUCCUUGUGCAUUUUUUUUUAUAUUAAACAAUCGUUAUUUGCAAAACAGUACCUUGGCCGGGCACGGUGGUUCACGCCUGUAAUCCCA